rnacentral:lncRNA from 1 species
GCAAAGAGCGGACAGAUUUCAAGCUUGGACUCUGAAGAAGGCAAUAGCUAUCAUGAUGAUGGACAAGCAUCAUUGGAAACCCCAGAGGUUCAAGGUAUAGGGAAGGUCGCAAGGCACCAAAGGGAAGAGGAUGGAAGAAAAAGAAAGAUGAUAAGAAAACUGCAGCACUGAGACAUCCCCAUCGCAGCACGUGGCUGGUAAGCACUAAAACUUGGCAAUAUGGGUUCAAGUUUACACUAAUACUUAGAAGGAACGAAAAUAAUAUUGAUUUCAGUUUAUUUUCUGUUUGCUGACCUAUUGAGCAGUGUUGCCUGGGUUGGGAGAAAACAGAAAUUACUUAUUUUAUUCUCAAUAACUUCUAGCUCCUAGAACCUUCCAGAACCUGAGCCCUCUUUCAUCUGCAGCCUCCUGCGUAUUGGCAGGCACUGGUGUUUGUUCCUGGCACUGCUGC